UACGAAGGGGGCUAGCGUUGCUCGGAAUCACUGGGCGUAAAGCGCACGUAGGCGGAUUGCUAAGUCAGGGGUGAAAUCCUGGAGCUCAACUCCAGAACUGCCCUUGAUACUGGCGGUCUCGAGUCCGGGAGAGGUGAGUGGAACUGCGAGUGUAGAGGUGAAAUUCGUAGAUAUUCGCAAGAACACCAGUGGCGAAGGCGGCUCACUGGCCCGGUACUGACGCUGAGGUGCGAAAGUGUGGGGAGCGAACAGG
rnacentral:rRNA from 1 species